GGCCUUCCGCAACAGGGUCCAUGAUGCCUGAUUGCUUCCUCUUCGGCUGGAUCGGGUCCAACCACACAAUUAUUGUACUACUGUCUUGAGUGGCAAAUAUUUACUGAGAUGGGAUAAUAGUGCAGGUUGAUGUGUGUAGCACGUGUUAACAAAAUCUCAAUUAUCUGCAUGGUAUAUAUAUCUCUAAUCAUUGUCUUUUCCAGAAUUAAGAGAAGGUAUGAGAAAGAUAAUACUAAUAUUCCCUAUACAUUUGACAUUUA